GAGGUGACUUCUGCCCAGUGCUCUGAUUGUCAAUGCGAAGAGAUCCAGCCAAGCGCGGGUAAACGGCGGGAGUAACUAUGACUCUCUUAAGGUAGCCAAAUGCCUCGUCAACCAAUUAUUGACGCGCAUGAAUGGAUCAACGAGAUUCCUGCUGUCCCUAGUUGCUAUCUGGUGAACCAACAGCCAAGGGAACGGGCUUGGAUGUGUCAGCGGGGAAAGAAGACCCUGUUGAGUUUGACUCUAGUUUGAUGCUGUGCAACGACAUGUGGGGUGUAGCAUAGGUGGGAGGCAAGUGCCAGUGCACAACGGAGUGAUGAUGUUCAAGUGAGAGCGGGUUGCGACGAGCUGCACCAAGUGGUGCGAGCCAGCAGUGAAAUACCACUACCUUCACCGUCGAUGUACUCAUUGAGUGGCUAGGGGGCGGCUAGCCAAUCAAGAUCAGCUCUUCCUCUCGGAAGGGUUGUGGCCCAACGCCGGUUCGUGCGACAAGCGACGGCACUCUAAGUGCUACGCUACUCUGGAAGCUAUGCGGUCCAAUCAGAAGCCUCAAGACACUGAUCAGUUGGGGAGUUUGGCUGGGGCGGCACGCCUGUUACAGCACAACGCAGGCGUCCUGAAGCAAUGCUCAGAUGGAACAGAACUCUCCCAGAGAGGAUCAGGCCAAAGGUGCUGCUGAUGCUGCUGCUCUCAGCACGAGCACAUAACAUGCAAGUGUGGCCUUACGAUCCUUUGGUUAAGUGCACGAGUUUGGGAUAUUGAAGCCAGAGGUGUCGGAAAAAUUACCACAGGGAUAACUGGCUUGUGGCUGCCAAGCGUUCAAAGCGACGUUGCUUUUUGAUCCUUCGAUGUCGGCUCUUCCUAGCUUCGCACCCGCAGCCGAGUCGAAGA
rnacentral:rRNA from 1 species